AGCUACAGCUGCAACUCAAGCUGGUGCGUCUGUUAUUCAGAUAUUUGUUGGUCGAAUCAGGGAUUGGGCACGUAAUCAUUCUGGCGACCCUGAGGUAGAAGCUGCACUCAAAAGAGGAGAAGACCCUGGGAUAGAUUUGGUUAGUUAUAACAGUUUUAAUAUCUCAAUUCCAUAGUUGCAUGGAAUUCUGUUUAAAUUCUUAGUAAGCUUGAUUAUGGCAUACUCUUAUCUUGAUAUAUUUUAAUAAUGGGUAUUUAUUUACAAAUGCAGUUUUUUUUUAAAAAAAAUCUAUGAUAGGCAAAUUAACAACUCUUCUAAAUACCUACUAUUCUAUGCCCUUUCGUCCUCUACUUUGUGUUAAGCACACUAAUACACAUUAAUACUUUCAGUUGUAAUUAAUUAUUUUCUAUUGUAAUUAGUUAAUGUAUAUUCCUCUCUUAUUAUUCUUUGUACAGCUUGCAUUGCAUGAGGAAGGAAACUUGUCCUGGUGGUCCUCUUUAUUUCGUUCCUUAGUUUGUAUUUAUAUCCCUUGUACAGGACAUUGAUAAUAAUAUAUAGAAAAUUCUCAAAACCCUUUUAAUUCUUCUUCCUAGUAUCUAAACCAUGCUAUAUACAACCUUUCACUUUGGUCUUGUUGUUUGACUACAUUUGACUUAGAUAUUAUUCAUUAUCGAUGCCAAGUGCUUCUUGGUAAUAAAAAACUUUUAAGAGACUGUUGCAUUAAAAUUCCAGUUCUCAGCUCAUAUAAUAAUUAGUUUCUCUUCGUUCAUCUCUUAGCUUAUUGUUUCUCUUUUGUGUUUUUUGAUGGUUUAACACAAUGCUAUCUUUUGGGCUAUUAGCUUUCUGAUCUGAACAGCACAAAAGAAUAAUUUCUAUCAAAUAUUACUUGAUGUAAAUACUAUGCUUUAAUUUAUCUUUGCCUUCUAUCACUUUGCUUAGUUUAUGAUUGGUCUAUUUUUCAAAAUAAAAUAAUUUACCAAGUAAACAAUAGACUUUAUAGCAUGUAAUUCUUGAGACUAGUAUGAAUAGAACUGAUUUUUUAUUAGAGAGCAAGCCUUAUUUUUUUAAUUUUUAAAUAUGAUUUUGUUUUUCAGCAUUUGGGUUAGCAUUUAUAACUUGAAUUUCAAAUUGGAAGGUCACUUUUGUUUUAAGGUGUGUUUUAAUACUAUGUAGUUGGGCAAGCCAAAGCCAAAUACCAAGAGUGAAUUCAUUAUUUUGUAUGUGGUGUCCUCUCUUGGAAAUAAUUUCCAUAGCAUUUUUCUUGAAGUAAUUUGUGAUGCUAGAUAAUAACAAUAAAAUAUUUCUUUGUUUAUUUUGCAGAUGUGACAAGCGAAAUAGAAAAAGGAUACUUAAUUUUGAAGGCUUUGUGUUGGGCAGCAGUAGAAUAUUUUGUGCUGAAAGUAGUAACUUUUCAAUAUGUUGAAUAUUUAAGACUACUUGAAUACUUAAAGAACAUUUUGUUGUUGAUGACAAUGUUGAAUGUUUUAAACUUAUUUGUGGAUUGUUAAUACAAUGUUGAAUGUUUUUACCUUUUGUUAUUUGAAAAUCAAGUUCAUUUGA